GAUGAACGCUGGCGGCGUGCCUAAUACAUGCAAGUCGAGCGAACAGACGCGGAGCUUGCUCCUCUGACGUUAGCGGCGGACGGGUGAGUAACACGUGGAUAACCUACCUAUAAGACUGGGAUAACCUCGGGAAACCGGAGCUAAUACCGUAUAAUAUAUUGAACCGCAUGGUUCAAUAGUGAAAGACGGUUUUGCUGUCACUUAUAGAUGGAUCCGCGCCGCAUUAGCUAGUUGGUAAGGUAACGGCUUAUCAAGGCGACGAUGCGUAGCCGACCUGUGAGGGUGAUCGGCCACACUGGAACUGAGACACGGUCCAGACUCCUACGGGAGGCAGCAGUAGGGAAUCUUCCGCAAUGGGCGAAAGCCUGACGGAGCAACGCCGCGUGAGUGAUGAAGGUCUUCGGAUCGUAAUACUCUGUUAUUAGGGAAGAACAAAUGUGUAAUUAACUAUGCACGUCUUGACGGUACCUAAUCAGAAAGCCACGGCUAACUACGUG
rnacentral:rRNA from 1 species